CCAAUCAUGUACCCUUAUCACUUUUCCAGCCCAGCUUUGUGAUUCUGACUGUUGGACGGAGAACUGAUAAGCGUAGGUGAUUGU
rnacentral:pre_miRNA from 13 species